rnacentral:rRNA from 1 species
ACAUCCAGAGAACUUAGCAGAGAUGCUUUGGUGCCUUCGGGAACUCCGAGACAGGUGCUGCAUGGCUGUCGUCAGCUCGUGUUGUGAAAUGUUGGGUUAAGUCCCGCAACGAGCGCAACCCUUAUCCUUUGUUGCCAGCGGCUCGGCCGGGAACUCAAAGGAGACUGCCGGUGAUAAACCGGAGGAAGGUGGGGAUGACGUCAAGUCAUCAUGGCCCUUACGGCCAGGGCUACACACGUGCUACAAUGGCGCAUACAAAGAGAAGCGACCUCGCGAGAGCAAGCGGACCUCAUAAAGUGCGUCGUAGUCCGGAUUGGAGUCUGCAACUCGACUCCAUGAAGUCGGAAUCGCUAGUAAUCGUAGAUCAGAAUGCUACGGUGAAUACGUUCCCGGGCCUUGUACACACCGCCCGUCACACCAUGGGAGUGGGUUGCAAAAGAAGUAGGUAGCUUAACCUUCGGGAGGGCGCUUACCACUUUGUGAUUCAUGACUGGGGUGAAGUCGUAACAAGGUAAGCGUAGCGAG